rnacentral:lncRNA from 1 species
AUGUGGUUGCAUCACGUGAAAGGGGAGUCGGGCCCAGCGGCGGCGGCGGCAGCAACAGCACGCCCGAGCGAGACAGAGACCCAGACAGAUUCUGGACGCUGGGCUCGUCGGGAGGAGCGACGGCGGACCGACCGGGCUGGCGGGGCGGAAGCCGCACAGGACGAGGCCACCGCUCCGGAGCUCCCUGGAGAGUCACAGCAGGUAAAGCCUAAGCACUUCUUUGCAUCAGCUUAUACGGAGAGCGCCUUGAUGCUGACAAGAUAGGAGCAGGCGCACACAAUUAGCUGUGCAUCUCUUCAAUUCCGGCUUCAUCUAAGUCUGAGAGCUCUUUAGUUGGAAGAACCUGUUCCAGGUAUAUAUAGAGCACCAGAAUCCAGUGCACUGAUGCCGUAUAGUAAUAGGAAUGGAAGUUGAAAGCAAAACACUGCAAUCCAUGGAAGUAGAACAUAUAGUGAAGGAAGCAGUUGUAAUUGCUUGAGCAAUCAUGGAAAAAUUACCCAGUAGCCUUCUGUUAUCUGACUGUUGAUGAAUAAAUAUACUGACUGACAUGUUCUGAAGUCA